AUCCAGACUCCUACGGGAGGCAGCAGUGGGGAAUAUUGCACAAUGGGGGAAACCCUGAUGCAGCGACGCCGCGUGAGUGAAGAAGUAAUUCGUUAUGUAAAGCUCUAUCAGCAGGGAAGAAAAUGACGGUACCUGAGUAAGAAGCCCCGGCUAACUACGUGCCAGCAGCCGCGGUAAUACGUAGGGGGCAAGCGUUAUCCGGAUUUACUGGGUGUAAAGGGAGCGUAGACGGCCAGACAAGUCUGAAGUGAAAAUCCAGCGCUUAACGUUGGAAGUGCUUUGGAAACUGCCGGGCUAGAGUGCAGGAGGGGCAGGCGGAAUUCCUAGUGUAGCGGUGAAAUGCGUAGAUAUUAGGAGGAACACCGGUGGCGAAGGCGGCUUACUGGACUGUAACUGACGUUGAGGCUCGAAAGCGUGGGGAGCAAACAGGAUUAGAUACCCGAGUA
rnacentral:rRNA from 1 species